ACAACAUUUGGACCAUCUGUCUACCUAGCAAUAUCACCCGCUCAGUGAAAAAUCUUCCCUCCGUCGU
rnacentral:pre_miRNA from 1 species